rnacentral:rRNA from 1 species
GUCCAUGCCGUAAACGUUGGGCGCUAGAUGUGGGACCAUUCCACGGUUUCCGUGUCGUAGCUAACGCAUUAAGCGCCCGCCUGGGGAGUACGGCCGCAAGGCUAAACUCAAAGGAAUUGACGGGGCCCGCACAAGCGGCGGAGCAUGCGGAUUAAUUCGAUGCAACGCGAAGAACCUUACCAAGGCUUGACAUAUACCGGAAACGUUCAGAAAUGUUCGCCCCGCAAGGUCGGUAUACAGGUGGUGCAUGGUUGUCGU